GGGUGUGAUCACACCAAUGUUAAUGCAUCGAAUCCCAUAAGAACUACGUAGUUAAGAAUGCUUGGGCUAGAGUAGCACUGGGAUGGGUGACCUCCCGGGAAGUCCUAGUGUUGCACUCU
rnacentral:rRNA from 1 species